CAAAAAGAAGAAAACCAAAAUAACACCAGAUGUCAGUUCCAUACAGUAGUUUCUUCAACAAACACAUUCACACUUCUUAUGGAGUGCUCGCUAAUGACAACUCAACUCAAGUUUGAAGCAACUCUUCUUACACCUGGCAUUUCACAAUCAACAGAAAUAUCAAGUUCCUUCUGGUUAUGUCACAACUUGACUUUGAUGCAACCUGCUGUUAAGUCGUGCAACUACAGUCUUUUUCAACUCACUGCUACUCACACCUGAGGCCAUUUCACCUGCUUCAGUAGCAAAAGUCAAUCUGGAAUAUAAUUUAUUGAUGAACUCAGCGACCAAGAGUUCAUUCAGCGAGACUACCAGGAAAUUUCAAGUCUGGUGUGACCUGUUUUGGUUGAGUUUCAAUUAUUUCAGUGCAAACACUUCCCAGAUACUAAACACCAAUCAGAAGUGACUUUCAAAGCAACGUAACAUUGCUUGAUGACGUCACUGUUUGGCGACGGCGAACAAUCACGAAUUUUAUAUUAAGAUACUGCAAUGUUCUGCAUUACUGUUAUUAUCGUGAAAGGAAGCACCUGCCUGUCUGAAAAUGCGUCCGAUAGAAACCUGAUCCUACAGCCAACAAAUAAUGCGGAGCAACAGACAAUAUUAAUCUAGUGUCUGAGUGAACCAAAGAUCUCCGAGAUGAGAGUGUCCCAGUGUCAUUUUGCCCACCAUAAAUCCUACAGACUGCCUUGGGUUUCAACAUCGGCUCCCACAUUGAGAACUCGGCAACUAACCAUGAGCUGUGGACUUUGUCGAAGGUCAGUUGAUGAAUACAGCCUGCCAUGAUGGAGUUAUACUUUAGGGGAACAAAUUCAAGGUUGUAAAUAUGACCUAAGUGUAUCUUUAAUCUUAAUCUGUAAAUGUAACGUAAUAUAUGUAUGAUCUUGAGCUAUCACGAUGACUGUGUACAAUAUAUGUCACAUCACAUAAUUUUGUUCACUGAAGUACGUGUCGUAUAUUAUUGUGACAGACAACACAUAAUCCAUUCCACAAUAAUAUUUUUUGGGAGAACCUAAAACUGGUUAAAUAUAGUUGACACCUGUCGCCAUUUGUCUACUAAGUAGCUUGUUAUUUUCUUGUCAAUUUUUCAAACAUAAGUAAUAAACAAAAAGCACCAAUCCUUAACUUUAUAAUUUGCAAUGCAUCUAUCAGAUACAAGCUUAAAAAGCAAUGGAGGUUGUUAUCACUGUGGUUGGGCGCUGCUUGUGGAUUUCAUCCAGAGGAGGUGAAACAAAUGAGAAACUGCAAUACAUAUUACAGAAGUCACAUGCAAGCAGGCAAAUUAAUAUGUACCGAUAUGCCCUUACUGCAGUGUUUAUAAGACAAGACAAAUGUUGUCUCUGAAAAUAUGAUGAAAAAUUGUAUCUUCACUGUAAAACAAAGACCAAGCUCACGGAAAUUAAAAAACUCUCUGUGUUGUGUC